rnacentral:misc_RNA from 1 species
AACGCACGAGACCUGCGGACCUGCGGAGGGAUCAUUACCGAGUUAUCCAACUCCCAACCCCUGUGAAUUAUACCUUUAAUUGUUGCUUCGGCGGGACUUCGCGCCCGCCGGGGACCCAAACCUUCUGAAUUUUUUAAUAAGUAUCUUCUGAGUGGUUAGAAAAAUGAAUCAAAACUUUCAACAAUGGAUCUCU